rnacentral:ncRNA from 1 species
UCAAAGGCGAUGAUGAAGAGGAGUACGUGAGAUACCCGAUUUUCAGAGAGCUGCCGCAUGGUGAAAGGCAGUAUGAGGGGCUUGCGGAAGUAGCUUCGGAGCUUCGCGUGCCAACGGCUUAUGCUCAGUAGUAUGCGGCGUGUUCCUCACGUUACAGGGGAAGAAGCUUAGCGGCUUCGCAGAGUGCGGGAGAUAUUCCCGAAUUCAGGUGGUAACACGGACUUAGUUCGCCCUGAAC